rnacentral:rRNA from 1 species
CUCCUACGGGAGGCAGCAGUGAGGAAUAUUGGUCAAUGGGCUUACGCCUGAACCAGCCAAGUCGCGUGAGGGAAGACUGCCCUAUGGGUUGUAAACCUCUUUUGUCAGGGAGCAACGCCGGCUACGUGUAGCCGGACUGAGAGUACCUGAAGAAAAAGCAUCGGCUAACUCCGUGCCAGCAGCCGCGGUAAUACGGAGGAUGCGAGCGUUAUCCGGAUUUAUUGGGUUUAAAGGGUACGUAGGCGGAUUUUUAAGUCAGCGGUCAAGUCGUGGGGCUCAACCCCAUCCAGCCGUUGAAACUGGGG